rnacentral:tRNA from 1 species
GGAGGGGUGGCCGAGUGGCUGAAGGCGGCAGUUUGCUAAACUGUUGUACGGGCCUAAACCUGUACCGUGGGUUCGAAUCCCAUCCCCUCCGCCA